UUCUGAAAGGCCUUGGCCUGAUCCUGGCUGACUUCUUUUCACAGCAACUUUUAUUCCAUUCCUCAGAGUUCCUCUAAAGACAUGACCAAAUCCGCCCUUACCAACUAUCAUUUUGGCAUCAAAGUUGUUGGUUGCAAAUUGAAUUUCAGCAAAAGGUAUCUUUAAUCCAAGGUUUAAGUCGGGUACGCGGGAGCCAAUUACGCUUCCCUCAGGCAUCCUAUUGUGGGAACUUCCCCUUCUAUGUACAGCCACUGGUGACCACUCCCAAUUUUCUACUGUUUUUGGUUUCCUGUAUCUUAAGCACAACCCUAUAACAACUGCCAAAAUGCCGAUGAGACCCAAACCUCCAACAAUUGAACCAACAACAACAAAGAUACGAGUCUUUUUGGGCUUAUGUGUUCCUGAUACUGAACCCGAUU
rnacentral:misc_RNA from 1 species